UCCCCGUUACCGGGGCAGUCUAGCUAGAAAAAUUCAACUAACUAUAAGGGUUGCGCUCGUUAUUGGACUUAACCAAACAUCUCACGACACGAGCUGACGACGGCCAUGCAUCACCUGUCACCGAUCCAACUAAAUGAAGUUAACCUUUCGGAAAACGGUUAUCGGGAUGUCAAGCCCUGGUAAGGUUCUUCGCUUACCAUCGAAUUAAACAACACGCUCCACCGCUUGUGCGGGUCCCCGUCAAUUCCUUUGAGUUUUAAGCUUGCGCUCGUACUCCCCAGGCGGGAUGCUUAACGCGUUAGCUUCGCUACUACCAGGGUCGAUACUGAUAACAGCUAGCAUCCAUCGUUUACAGCGUGGACUA
rnacentral:misc_RNA from 1 species